rnacentral:rRNA from 9 species
CAAACGACUCUCGGCAACGGAUAUCUCGGCUCUCGCAUCGAUGAAGAACGUAGCGAAAUGCGAUACUUGGUGUGAAUUGCAGAAUCCCGUGAACCAUCGAGUCUUUGAACGCAAGUUGCGCCCGAAGCCAUCCGGCCGAGGGCACGUCUGCCUGGGCGUCACGC